CGUAGGGUGCGAGCGUUAAUCGGAAUUACUGGGCGUUAAAGUGUGCGCAGGCGGCCGAGCAAGUCGAGUGUGAAAGCCCCGAGCUUAACUUGGGAACUGCGCUCGAAACUACUUGGCUGGAGUGUGGCAGAGGAAGGUGGAAUUCCACGUGUAGCGGUGAAAUGCGUAGAGAUGUGGAGGAACACCGAUGGCGAAGGCAGCCUUCUGGGCCAACACUGACGCUCAUGCACGAAAGCGUGGGGAGCAAACAGGAUUAGAUACCCUGGUAGUCCACGCCCUAAACGAUGAUGACUAGUUGUUGGAGGAGUUAAAUCCUUUAGUAACGCAGCUAACGCGUGAAGUCAUCCGCCUGGGGAGUACGGUCGCAGGAUUA
rnacentral:rRNA from 1 species